rnacentral:rRNA from 1 species
CGGUUAAGUUAGAAAGGGCGCACGGUGGAUGCCUUGGCACUAGGAGCCGAUGAAGGACGGGACGAACACCGAUAUGCUUCGGGGAGCUGUAAGCAAGCUUUGAUCCGGAGAUUUCCGAAUGGGGAAACCCACCACUCGUAAUGGAGUGGUAUCCAUAUCUGAAUACAUAGGAUAUGAGAAGGCAGACCCGGGGAACUGAAACAUCUAAGUACCCGGAGGAAGAGAA